UUCGAUGUUGUUUGGCCGGCAUAUGGAUUGUUCUGUAUCUUGGGAAUUCUUGCCUAUAAAAAUGAUGCGCAUAAACUUGAGGACGGGGGAAUAAUUGCAAGGCUGUAAGAAACAACCAAGUACAAUUACAAGAUUUUAAGCGAUGGUAAUCCAACUCUGAAGCAGUCAGCAAGAGUAAUUUUUGAGUAUGGCAACUGUUGAAGUAAAUGGAAACGGCAGUAGCAAAAUACCCAAGCCGAAUUUUGAUCACUCGUGUGGUCAUACGGCAUAUGCUCCUGAUGAACUGGUUGUAUCCAGGCUUGGCUUGUAAGAAUCCCGGAGGCUUGCGAUGAGAGACACCAUGCACAUGAGUAGGAACGGUUCAAGGCUAGUGACUGAUGACGGGACACCGAAAGGAGCGGUAAAGAUUUUGGAAGAGCGUGGCAUUAAUACAGGCUCCAGCAACUGUAAUGUUUAAUGUUCUCUCAUUUGAAAGGAAGCCAGCCUGGAAAAGAAAUGGAGAAGGAAGAAUACAAAUCGUACCAAUAACUUUAACGAUCACAAUCAAAGAACAAUUAGCCUAAAAUCAGUUUACACCUAUAGUUUAUACACCUAGUUUUGUAUUUGCAUUUCAUUAUUGAACUGAUGUGA